UACGAAGGGGGCUAGCGUUGCUCGGAAUCACUGGGCGUAAAGGGUGCGUAGGCGGCCUGACAAGUCUGAUGUGAAAUCCCUGGGCUCAACCCAGGGCCUGCAUCGGAAACUGUCGGGCUUGAGUAUGGGAGAGGUGAGUGGAAUUUCCGGUGUAGCGGUGAAAUGCGUAGAUAUCGGAAGGAACACCUGUGGCGAAAGCGGCUCACUGGACCAUUACUGACGCUGAGGCACGAAAGCUAGGGGAGCAAACAGGAGU
rnacentral:rRNA from 1 species